rnacentral:lncRNA from 1 species
UUUAAUUGUUUACCAUUCAAGAUAUAGUUAAAAAUCAAUUGAACUUUAAGCUCUUUUACAUUUUUUUGAGUAUUGAAACUAUUGAAUAUAAGGAGGUCUUAUAAAAAAAAUUCGUCUGAUUAUUCUACAUGAUAUAGGUUAAAAUACUACAUGAUAUAGGUUAAAUUUUAACCUACACUUAAGUUUACAGUAUGGUCAGCUCAUGAUGUCUAAUGAUAUCCUUGUGCACUGACCACUCAUGCUCCCCACUAGCUGGUCUAUCUCCAAGAUAAUGGCAAUCUUUUAGAACACGAGAGAAGCAUUUAGGUAAGUUUCAUUACCUUAUGCAAUCCUCCAUUUCUUUCCACAUUACUUAUCCUGAUAGAAUCACAUCAUUUGUAUUUUGAUUUUACUUAUCCACAUAGUUAAUGCGCAUGCUAACUUAAUUGUCCAUUUCCUCUUGCAGUGGCGAAGCUAGUAUUGU